UAUUUUUGAGCGCUCGGGCACAUGGAGGAAUUUGGCCCAACAUCCAAACACCUCGUCUCGAAAAAAUUGAAAUUUGGCGCCCUCUAAAAUCCCUCCCUCGCUCCCUCACUCUCAGACCAGUAACAGAGAAGGUAACCACGAACGCCGCAAGGAAGCAAUUAGGGCGGAGAAAAUGGUGUUACUACGGCAGCAAAAGUCGUCACUCAAAAGAGAAAGAGACUCGUCUCCCUCUUUCAGAAGUCAAUUUCCUUCUUCCAAAGUUCCUAAAUCCCUAGAUUCAAAAACUGAAAAGAUGAUUUCUAUUCUGGCGGAUGCUGGUUGUACCUUAAUCAACCGCUCCGCUCCUCCUUCUCUUCCUUCUGAUCCCAACCAUCUCCAACGCCACCUCACCAAUCUCUUCUCUCGUGACCCUUCUCUUUCUUCUCAUUUCCUUGCUGGUUUCUCUACUUACAUUGACUCUCCCAAUAAUUUAACCAGAGUUAUGAGCUCUUUAAAUCCUGGCAGAAACAACAGCUUAGUUCGACAUCUCUUGUUGGUCCCCUCUAUUCAAUUAGAACUUAUGAACAUGCUUCUCGAGAAACUUCCAGAAUUCUUUGACAUAAAUCCGGAGACAUCGUUGUCUCUUCAAGAUGAUGUUGGUAGGCUCAUUAUUAAUCAAUUUCGGUGGCUUGAUUUUCUUGUGGACCCUCAAGCCUUUACUGAUAAGUUGAUGCAACUACUUUGUAUUUGUCCUUUACAUUUAAAAAAAGAAAUCAUUGGAUCAUUGCCUGAGAUUAUUGGUGAUCAGUCAGAUAAUAAGACUGUGGUAGACUCCCUCCACCAGAUGCUCAGAGAAGAUUCAGCUAUCAUUGUGCCUGUGCUUGACUGUUUUUCCAACCUUAAUUUGGAUGAUCAGUUGCAAGAACAAGUCAUCACCAUAGCAUUAUCAUGCAUUAGAACCAUUGAUGCACAACACAUGCCAUAUCUACUUAGAUUUUUACUCCUUUCUGCAAAACAAGCAAAUGUUCGAAUGAUUAUAUCUCACAUCCGACAGCAUUUGAAGUUCGUUGGGGUGUCAAAUUCUCGUGCAACGCAGCAAUAUAAACUAAAAGGAAAGUCUUUAGUAGAUCAUUCAGAGGCAUCUAUUCUUGAUGCCUUGAGGUCAAGUCUUCGAUUUAAGAAUAUGCUUUGUCAGGAGAUUUUGAAAGAAUUGAAUGGCCUCCAGAAGCCACACGAUCACAAAGUCAUAGACGUAUGGCUUCUUGUGCUUAUGUAUACAAAUGCCGACAUAGCCCUACAAAGGAGCAUUUUAAAGCUUCUCAGGAAGAAAAUUGUUCAAGAUUGCAUUCAGGAAGUUAUGCUUGAUCAGUGUAUUCGUGGGAAUAAAGAAUUGGUCCAGGAUUUUUUUCCGUCCUUCCUAUCAUUCUCCGAGUACUUAUUAACAUGCAAAGAACAAAAGGCUAUGGAGCUUGGGAUUCACUUGUAUACCAUCCUAUUUGAAGAGUUUAAUAAUACUAAUGCAAGACAGGAAGUUCUUGGUGCACUAAUUACGCAUGUGGGAUCAGGUGUUAACUUUGAAGUGAGUUCUGCUUUGGAGACCUUGUCUCUGCUGGCCUCAAAAUAUGCACCGGAACUGAUUCCAUUAUCUUCUCAUAUAAAUGGGAUUUUGGAUUACUUGGAGGUUUUUAGUAUUGCAAAUCUGCAGAAGGUCUACGAGGUUUUCAGUCAUCUAGCACUGUCUGGUAAAUCUAGUGCUGGUUGUUUUGGAUCUUCUAUUGCAAAUGAACUUCUCAUGAUAGUGCGGAAGCAGGUCAGCCAUAAAGAACUGAAGUACAAAAAGAUAGGCCUGAUAGGAACUCUGAAGAUAGUUUCUUGUCUUGGUGAUGCUAGUAAUGUUACUAGAACAUCUCAAUUUGGGAAAUCAAACGCUGAAGAGGCUUUGGAAAUCUUAAAAACAUCUCUGAAUUCUUGCAAACAGUUGUACUUGCCUUUGAUUCUCUUUUAUGACGAACUGACUACAGUGUUGAACUGCAGAACACUUCACCGAGAUAUCAUAGAAUGGAUUUCAAAACAUGUUGGAGAAUUUGAAUCUAUAUUUCUGUCUGAUCUUGAAGGUGGACAACUACUUAUUAAGGAAUCUUACUGCGGUCUAGAAGGGGAGCUAUGGAUGAACUUGGAUGGAGAUAUAUCUCCUAUUUGUUUGAAUAUUUUGCCAUUGGUUUCCUCUUCUUCUCAGUCAGAUUCUUUACAAAUUCUUCCUGCAAAGUUCCUUUUACUUUCUGCUGUUGAGAGGUUAACAAAUCAAGGAUCUCUUGGAGGAAUUGAUGCAUUACUUGGUUGCCCUUUACACAUCCCUUCCUCAAAGUAUUUCUCUGAAGCUGGUUUGCAGUCUCUCACAGAGAAGCAGAAACAGAUGGUGAUCCUCUCGCUUUAUUAUGCAGCAAACUGGAUACGAGAACUGCUUAAUGCCUUCUGCACACAAGUUGCUGGAAGACUGGAAUUAAUGAGUCAGACUACAAAGGAGGAUAUAAUUGUGAAGCUGUUGAAGCGACUACGGAAUCUAGUAUUUCUGGAAAGCUUGUUAAACUAUUCCGUCAAAUGCUUCCCUCAAUCUCUACCUGAGCUCCAUCUUCUUGUGGAGCAAUGUGGAUCCUUACUGCAUCAACCUAGUAAAAUGGAUCAACUGGCCAGAAAGAAUGAAAACAAGAAAAUACAUGACAGUGUCCCUUCAGACAAGAAAAGGAAGCAUAAAAAGAUCUCAAAGGCAUCAACAAGUUCAGAUGUAAACGAAAGAUUGCAGCAGCCAACGAUAUUGGAUGUGUUGAGAAAAGCAGGAAGUCUUACAAGUCAAGAGGUGACAAAUGAGGAUUCUUCUAGUACAUUUUCAAAGAGCGGGAAAGCUGAGGCACCUGACCAAACUUCCUCUGAUUGUAAUGAGCCAGUAAUUAUAGAAGUUUCUAAAGUUGCCAAGGCUUUGGAAAUACAAAGAUUUAAGUUCAGGCCUCUUCAGUUACAAUGCCUUGCCAUUCUGACAUUUUCAAAGAAUCAAGACUCAUGUUGCUCUGACCCUGCUGCUGAGUUACCCCUGUAUCUGUACCUUUUGCGUGAUCUCCACUACAAGCUGGAUUGUUUUACUCCUUCAAGCAAACAAUUGUUGCCCAGAUGCUGGAGUGCUUCUGAUGGUUUUAACAAGAUUACAGCUGAAGAACUCUUGAAUAAAGUCAAACCAGUUUUUCCAAGUCUUAAGAGGCAAUUUGAGUGUGCAGUUUGCAUUCUUAAAGGAGGAGGUGAAAUUUGUCAAGAUCAUUGGAAAGUGGAAUCUGCUAUUGCUGGAAAUCCUGAUAUAUGUAAUGUUAUGUUCUCAAAUUCUUCCGUUUCCACAUUGACCAUUAAAGAAGUACUUACUUGCUUCAGUAAGAUGCUAAACCUUCCUGAAAUGCAAAUGAACAAACCGGUUCUCUCAGAUCUUCUUCAAUCAUUCCAGCCAGUGAAAAUACCAGAUGCUAUAAUUUCAGGACUACAACCUGUCCCUCUCUCUGGGACAAUAGAGUAUUUAUAUCUUGGUGUCUUUUCAUUUCUGGAAGAUGUCCUGAAUAUUGCAUGUUCUUACUCCUUUAUGGUGGCCUCAGAAUCUCUUCUUACUUUAGAAUCAGUUGUAAUAUCGCUUCAAGGGUUCCUUGAUAAGUUGGGGGAAAAUAAUACAACCACACACUCGGGAGUUAUCCAGAGUGUACUUAACAACUUGCGUUGUAGACUUGGAAUUUCUGCUCAGAAGUUGUUAAAGCAUAAUUGGAGUGAUGAAAGUCUUGAGAAUGGUUGGAGGAACAAAGGAGAAAUAGUGCAGAAGAUUCUAUGGAUUUAUUUGGAGCACAGCGAGUCCACUACCAGUUUGUUGGAUGAGCUUGCAUGCACCAUCUUGCCUCAGGUUACUUCCUGGAAAACAAACACAGAAGGUGAUCAUCAUGGUUUCCCUGCUCUAUGUCCUGCCACAUUCGUUGCAUGGUACCGGAUACUUCAUGAAGUGAACCUCUCUAUUCUUAACAAAUUGGUGAAGGAAGCUGCUCACUUGGAAAAGCUGAAAGCUGGUGUUCAACCAGAAGUUGUUCAAAGACAUUUGACCAAAACACACAAGUGUGUGAAUGUGGUGGUAUCAUUAGUUAACAUAUGUAGGAUGCAUGACAAGGUGACUGUGCAUGCCAUGGCUGUCAAGUAUGGUGGGAAUUUUGUUGAUACCUUCCUGAAAGCUUUUGACUUCUUACAGGUCCACUUUCAAACACAUAAUGAAAUUAUAAUCCAAUUGGUGAAAGAGCUUCAAAAGGCCACAAGAACAAUACAGAUUCUAUGCUCUGAAGCAAAGGGGUUGAAACAAACAGCCAUAACUAGCAAAAUUCCUUCUACAAAGAGGUCAAUGGAACGUUUUCUGUUUCGUGUCAAGGCUCUUUUCCACACAUCAUCUAGUGGAUGCACCUUUUGGAUGGGCAAUCUAAAACACAAGGAUUUGAUGGGUCAGGUUGUGAGCUCGCAGGCAUAUGUAGAUGAUCCAAGUACCAAUUUUGAUGAGGAUAAAACAGAAGCUGUUGAUGAGAAUCAAGCUGUUAGUCCAGCAAGUGAGGACAGACAAACAGAAUAAAGAGUUUCUGGUGCAUAGAAUUCUUCAGUUUUCUUUACUAAUGCCUAAAUGAAGAAAGAAAGCUAAGUCACUUUGGAAAUGUAUAGUUUCAGUGCUUCUUUGGGUUCAUGGAAAGAAAGAAAAAAUCUUGGUUUGGGGGAUAAAUGUGAUGAUAACAGUGAGGUACAGUGGGAUAAAAUUAGAUUGUUUGCUUCUGUUUGGGUUUAUUUUUAAAAGAAGCCAAAGUUCUUUUUAUUUUUUUCUUUAUUAAUUUUAAUUGGGAGGGAAUUUUGGGCUAACUUUGUAUAGUUUGUUUUCUCAUAGUGAAGGGAACAUUAGUUAUUGUCUUUGUAUAGAUUUGUCUCCCUCGUUGGAUUCGUGACAAUUUUGUGAAUCUCUAGCCCAUUGAUGUUCCCACCUCAUUCUCCUUUUAAUUUAUAGUUUUAUUGUUUCCUACUAAAAAAACAAAAUAAUAAUAAGAUUAUGUACAAUACUUAAAUAAAUUGUUGACUGUAUAAUUUCAACUGUUUGAUAAU